CCUACGGGGAGCAGCAGUGAGGAAUAUUGGUCAAUGGACGAGAGUCUGAACCAGCCAAGUAGCGUGAAGGAUGACUGCCCUAUGGGUUGUAAACUUCUUUUAUAUGGGAAUAAAAUGUUCCACGUGUGGGAUUUUGUAUGUACCAUAUGAAUAAGGAUCGGCUAAUUCCGUGCCAGCAGCCGCGGUAAUACGGCGGAUCCGAGCGUUAUCCGGAUUUAUUGGGUUUAAAGGGAGCGUAGGUGGAUUGUUAAGUCAGUUGUGAAAGUUUGCGGCUCAACCGUAAAAUUGCAGUUGAAACUGGCAGUCUUGAGUACAGUAGAGGUGGGCGGAAGUCGUGGUGUAGCGGUGAAAUGCUUAGAUAUCACGAAGAACUCCGAUUGCGAAGGCAGCUCACUGGACUGCAACUGACACUGAGGCUCGAAAGUGUGGGGAUCAAACAGGAUUAGAUACCCGAGUAGUC
rnacentral:rRNA from 1 species